rnacentral:rRNA from 1 species
CAGGCCUAACACAUGCAAGUCGGACGGUAGCACAGAGGAGCUUGCUCCUCGGGUGACGAGUGGCGGACGGGUGAGUAAUGUCUGGGGAUCUGCCCGAUAGAGGGGGAUAACCACUGGAAACGGUGGCUAAUACCGCAUAACGUCGCAAGACCAAAGAGGGGGACCUUCGGGCCUCUCACUAUCGGAUGAACCCAGAUGGGAUUAGCUAGUAGGCGGGGUAACGGCCCACCUAGGCGACGAUCCCUAGCUGGUCUGAGAGGAUGACCAGCCACACUGGAACUGAGACACGGUCCAGACUCCUACGGGAGGCAGCAGUGGGGAAUAUUGCACAAUGGGCGCAAGCCUGAUGCAGCCAUGCCGCGUGUAUGAAGAAGGCCUUCGGGUUGUAAAGUACUUUCAGCGGGGAGGAAGGCAUUGCGGUUAAUAACCCGCAGUGAUUGACGUUACCCGCAGAAGAAGCACCGGCUAACUCCGUGCCAGCAACCUCGGUAAU